AUUGAACGCUAGCGGGAUGCUUUACACAUGCAAGUCGAGCGAGCGGCGGACGGGUGAGUAAUGUAUGGGGACUGCCCGAUAGAGGGGGAUAACUACUGGAAACGGUAGCUAAUACCGCAUACUAUCGGAUAACCCAUAUGGGAUUAGCUCGUAGGUGGGGUAAUGGCGCACCUAGGCGACGAUCCCUAGCUGGUCUGAGAGGAUGACCAGCCACACUGGGACUGAGACACGGCCCAGACUCCUACGGAGGCAGCAGUGGGGAAUAUUGCACAAUGGGCGCAAGCCUGAUGCAGCCAUGCCGCGUGUAUGAAGAAGGCCCUAGGGUUGGAAAGUACUUUCAGCCGGGAGGCGUUACCGGCAGAAGAAGCACCGGCUAACUCCGUGCCAGCAGCCGCGGUAAUUC
rnacentral:rRNA from 1 species